rnacentral:lncRNA from 10 species
GAAAGCGCUGGGGAACCGAGAGGUGUCUUAGAAAGCUGCAUGAGUGGCAGAACGGUGGCUACUAUGACAGAGAGGCCGCCGUGGGCGAAGAGGGAGUGUGACAUUCUUCAGAAUUCAUCCUGGAAUCAAUAUUAUGCCAAAGAAAAUUUUCUGAAAGCUACACAGAUCAUACCACUGCAACUCAGCCAACCAGCACAUCGGACAGUGGGAGGAGGAAUUCUUGGCUAAGAGUACUGAGAUUAUUUACCCCUCAAAACAACCCCCAAGGUGUCUACAACCAGUUCCACAAGUCUUGUACCAAUCCAUCCCUCCUCACUCAGGGUUUUUGCAUGUCUGACACCCAUGGCUCCACCUGGACUCAUCUGGAUCUGCCAACCCCAUUCCCGUGGCCCCACCCAGAAGUGAUUCAGCUUACAGGAGGACAGCUUCAGCUUCCCAUGAUUUUGUCUAUGCCCCAACCAAUCAAUAGCAAGCAUAGCCACAGCCACCCCUUUCCCAAACUGCCUUUGAGAAACCCCUAACCUAUGAACUUUGGACGAGAAUGAUUUGAGAAUUAACUCCAUCUCCCACCUGGCGUGGCUGG